rnacentral:tRNA from 1 species
GUCGGGGGACCUGAGAGGCGGUGGUUUACCCUGCG